GUCUUGAUAGUAUAAAUAUUACUCUG
rnacentral:tRNA from 2 species